GGAUUGAACCGGGCGGCGUGUCGAAGGAAUGAGAUGUUAGUAACGGGGAGGUUAUACUGGGUGAGGGGCUGCAGUUUCGAUCUUUGCAGCAAGAGAAGGGACUUGCGGAGGAAGGGGGCGGUUUGUGUGGUGAGAGGGUGAUUCGGGAGGAGGGGCCCGCGUGGGAGUGGAGCCAGGAUGGGCCGAUGUUGCUGCACCAUUCUGUCGUCUGGUGCGAGUGGCAAGUCGGCCGCUUCCCGGAGCGGAGUGUGUGACUCCUGGUAAUGGCGCUGCGGGAGCCCGGCAGCAAGCCCAGCUCGACAGCAGUGCAAGCAGCCGCAGCCCAGCCCCCGGGAAAACCUGCGGUUGAACGCCACCCGUCUCCGCCUGGGGUCGGGCGCCAUGGAGACACUGAGCAGCACCAGGGAGAUUGAGUGGAGCGGCGUGUCGAGGCCGCUGGACCUGCUGGUCAGCACCUACCGGUUACCGCAGCUCGUCAAGCUGGAGAACGGGGAAGCCGUGGAAGGGAUUCGUGAAAACGAUUUGGUUUUACUUCAUUCCUGCCGACAAUGGACAACUAUUACUGCUCACAGCUUGGAAGAAGGUCACUAUGUGAUAGGACCAAAAAUAGAGAUUCCUGUUCAUUAUGGAGGACAGUUUAAGCUAUUGGAACAGGACCGAGAUGUCAAGGAACCUGCACAAUACUUCAGCAGUGUCGAGGAGGUGGCAAAAGCAUUCCCUGAACGAGUGUACGUAAUGGAGGAAAUAACAUUCAAUGUUAAGGUAGCCGCAGGGGAAUGCAAUGAAGAUACUGAAGUAUACAACAUCACUUUGAGUACAGGUGAUGAACUUACUCUAAUGGGACAAGCUGAAAUUCUUUAUGCCAAAACAUCAAAAGAAAAGUCCAGAUUUAACAAUAUCUUUAAGAAAAUUGGAAAAUUGAACGCUAUUGGCAGAUUUGGAAGAGGAAAGAUGCCUUGCCUUAUUUGCAUGAAUCACCGGACCAAUGAAAGCAUUAGCCUUCCUUUCCAGUGUAAAGGCCGAUUCAGCACACGUAGUCCCCUUGAGAUACAAAUGCAAGAUGGUGAACACACUAUUCGCACCAUUGUUGAAAAGACCAGGCUCCCAGUAAAUGUUACAGUGCCAUCUGCACCUCCACGAAAUCCUUAUGAUCUGCACCUCAUUCGAGAGGGUCAUCGCUAUAAGUUUGUUAAUAUUCAAACCAAGACUGUUGUGGUGUGCUGUGUACUUCGCAACAACAAAAUGAUUCCCAUGCACUUUCCACUUCAUUUAGUUGUGCCAAAGUUUACCUUAGCUGAAGGUCUUCUUAAGGGAGCAAUGUGGUAUGAGAACGCAAUACAACAUUCAUUCAAUGUUUGUCAAGAGCAGUUCGAUAUUGAAGAGUAUUCACGAGCUGUUCGGGAUGUAAAAAUUGACUGGAAUGAAGAUUGCAAAAGUCCAAAGAAGACGCGGUGUACUGGGCACAGUCACAUGCCUAACUCUCUCAGCUAUGCCCGUGAAGAAUUGACACAGUCUUUCCAUCGACUUUCCGUAUGUGUUUAUGGAAAUAAUUUGCAUGGAAAUAGUGAAGUAAAUCUGCAUGGUUGCAAAGAUCCAAAUAAUGAGUGGACUCUCUUCUCUCAUGAAACCGUCCUAUCUCAAGAUUCUGGAGACAGUGGGAGUGAUUAUUUGCUACCUGAAGUGACUGAAGAAUCUGCUGGAGUCCAAUCAUGGUCAGAACUUCCCUAUGAAGAGCUAUGGUUAGAUCAAGGAACUGGGAAACUGAGUGGACAAGAUCUUUUCUGUUUGGGCGAGAGAUUGAAAUCUGAUCAGAGGGGCUCUAGCCACUCUAAAUGCCCAGCUUCUUCUGUCCUUUCUUCUCCAAGUCCUUUGUCUUCAAUCAAACCAUCGUCUGAUACUUGUCUACCUCCACCUCCAGUGCCUCCAAAGUCUGAAGCUGUAAAAGAAGAAUGCAGACUUCUGAACGCUCCACCAAUUCCACCACGGAAUUCCAAGCCAUCUUCUCAGAGUCCAUCAAUUCCACCUCGGCAAAUACGCCAACAGACACGCUCUCCGAGCCCUACGCUAUCUUACUAUUCUUCUGGAUUGCAUAACAUUGGUGCCACAGAAAAUGAUGCACCUUCGCCUAUUGAGAAGCAUUCCUCAGUUUCCUGUUAUCCUUGUAACUGGAUUGAUUCUAAAGCUAUGGACAGUGGAGCUAAACUGCCCCUCAGAAGCCCCUUAUUGGACAGCCCUUCAAAUCGCUCAUCGUGGCCAAACCAACGUUAUGGGGAUGUUGACCAAGAUGGUUGUGAUUUUUUAUCUGAACACAGAAGUUACUACAGUUAUCCACGUCACAAAAUACCAAGUACUCCAAAGAACAUAGUGCCAGUACUGUUUCAAUAUGGUAGCAGUGAAUGUGCUGGGGGCUGUGAGGAGUUUCCAGUUAAUACCAUUCCCAGACAGCAACAGCCCAAGGAUGGAGGAUUUCAUUUUAUUCCUACUGGCUAUCCAAGAUCUACAAGUUAUUCCUCAGAAGGCUAUGGUGAAAAACCUCUAGCAGAUAACGUCCAACAAAGUCGGUCAUGCCCCACCUUGCCACCACGUCCAUUAAAGUUCACCGAUGAAGAAUUAAUUAGCCUAGAAGCACUGUUUCUGCCAUCGACUAGAGACGGGGCUGAGGACAAACCACAGAUUUGCUCAACAGAUCUACCUGAAGAAAAGUUUGUUAACAAAGAUAAACUCAGUGUAUUUUCUACUCCUCCUCCUCCUCCUCCUCCUCCUCCUCCUCCUCCUCAUCUGCAGUUAGCACAUUCAUGUGGUGAUGGAUCACCUUGGCAGCCACCAUCUGACCUUGGUGGACUGUCUAUUGAAGAGGUGUCAAAGUGCCUGCAAUUUAUUGGUCUCCCUGAAGAGAUUGUGUCACUGUUUGUGACAGAAAAAGUUGAUGGAAAUCUACUUGUACAGCUGACAGAGGAAAUCCUGUCUGAAGACUUUCAGCUUAGCAAACUCCAAAUUAAAAAGCUUUUGCAUUUCAUCAGUGGCUGGCGACCCAAGAUGUAGUGCUAUGAUUCAAAAGGCAUAAAUGUUGAGGAUCUGACCUCAACAUUUAUUGUUUUGCACUAAAUAGUCAUCAUUUUUGGACUGUGUCAAAUCAGUGCUGUCUCUCUAAAUGGUUUGCUUAUAAAGUGCGAAGAGUACCAGUAGUACUUCAUAGUACUAUGAAGAGCAGAGGAAAGUACAGUGUAUUCAAAAAGAACGGGUACCCAUGAACAAAGUCUGCCAAUUUCUCAGCAACAAACACAAACAAGGAGAGAAAAAACAUGUCCAGAAACCCUAGCCUCUCUUCCCUACAUCAAAAACAUCUCACAAAUGACUGCCAGACUACUCAGACCCCUUGGCAUCAUGGUAGCCCACCAACACACUAAAACAGCAGCUAAUGAACUUGAAAGACCCUGUACAGACAACAAGCAAAACGAAAAUCAUUUACAAAAUAUCUUGCAAGAACUGUAACAAACACUACAGUGGACAUACAGGCAGAUAAUUAGCCACCAGGAUAUGUGAACAUCAACUAGCCACAAAAAGACAUGACCCACUAUCAAUAGGAUCCUUUCACACAAAUGAUGAAGGAUACCACUUCGACUGAGACAACACAUCCAUCCCAGGACAAGCCAAACAGAGAUACGCACGAGAAUUCCUUGAAGCAUAGCACUCUAACCGGAACGCUAUCAACAAACACAUUGACUUGGAUCCCAUUUACCACUCCCUGAGAAAAAGCAAGGGAAAUUACAUCACCAUAGGAAGUGACAUCACCAACCCAAGGAAACACAAACACAAACAGAAAACAGGCUACACCACCAAUACUUCAUCCAGAGCUCACUGAAGAUGUUAUCUACUAUGGUGAUGAAACGUCUGAAACAAACCUUCCAGUUCAUCUUAUGGAACCACAAAUUCCACCCCAUCUCCACUCAAGUUUAUUCACAACACCAUAGAUCUCAAACACCAAGAGACAGAAUACAGAAAAGGGAUUGAGUGCUUAGUAUAAAGAUACUCUCCAUCAACUUCAGAAAACAAAGGAGCCCGUUACUGACUUCAAGAAGGGGACUGAUGGGAACACCUGUGUCUGCAUCCAUUCUGCUGAGGUUGAGAUGGUCAAAAGCAUCAGUUCCUGGGAGUGAUGAUCACACAACAAUCUGGCCUCAUUCACCCAUGAUGGUCAAGAAAGCAUAAAAUGUCACUACUUCCUCAGGAGGCUAAGGAUGCCCACAAGGACACUUACCAAUUUUAAUUGAAGCACCAUAGAAAGCACCCUAUCUGGAUACAUCACAGAGUGUUCUGGCAACUGCUCUUCCCAAGACCAAAAGAAACUGCUGAUCCCAGUUCAUCACGCAAAUCAGACUUUCACCCAUUGACUCAAUCUAUAAAUGCCAUUGCCUCGGGAAAACAAUCAAUAUGAAGACCCAUCUCACUCUGGUUAUACUCUCUUCCACUGUCUUCCAUCAGGCAGAAGAUAUAAAAGUUUGAAUACAUGUACGAAAGAUUCAUGAAUAGCUUCUUCUAUUGUUAUCCGACUUUUGAAUGGACCUCAAAUGUUACUGUUGAUCUCUCUCUGCACCUUCUUUGUGGCUGUAAAAUUUGAUUCUCACUCGAUUUGUUACUCUGAGCUUUGUAUGAUACGAUCUGCCGGUGUAGCACUCA